rnacentral:lncRNA from 1 species
AAGAGAGAGACAGAGAAACAAAGUUCCUAUGUUAAAGUUGCUGUCCCUUUAUGUCUGGUAAGAGGGACAUUCCUCUGCCUAAGCUUGAAUCUGGCUACUCCCUAACUGUGUGCCAUUAAGCUACAUAACCAGCGUAUGCCUCACUUUUCUCAUCUGUAAAGUGGGAUUAUUAAGAUAGCCUCUACUUCAUAGGGCCAUUUUGAGUAUUUAAAUCAAUUCAUUUAAAACUCCUAGAACAAGCACCAAGCACAUGGUAAAUUCCUCAAGAAAUAUUAGCUAAUAUUUUAAUACUGUGACUGAUUCUGAAAUGCAUGUGAUUCCACAUUUUUAACAUCUCUGUUACAUCUGCAUGAAAUCACGAUGUGUCUUUCAGAGGAUGGUGUGUCAUAAGUGAUUGGAAGCAUUUUUUUCUUUCUCGAUGAUACACUGACUAAUCUUUCUUUUACAAUCUGCAACACCUCAGAUGCAAUUAAAUGUGAAAUUAUCAUUGUUUUUGGAGCAGAUCUCUUUGUUGUAAAAAGGACGGCUUGCACAGUCCCACUGGCAUAAAGAUAUGUAAAGCAAGCAGGCACUUCAUUGUCACAGAGGUGGGAGUUUUGGAGGCUUGUCCCAGGCCACCCGCCCAAUAUCCUUUGUGCGACUCAAGUCUUCUGGUGAAGGGAUGGGCAGAUCUACGCAGGGGACAAGCAGAUCCAGAUGGAGAUUGGUGGGGCUUUUUGGACUCAAAGUUAUGCAAACCUCUGAAGCACUGAGAUGGUACGAUGCGGUCGUCUAAACAGAAAAGACAUGGAGGGCCGACCAAGAAGGAGUUCUCCAAUGGGACAGCAGGGUCGUGACCACAGCGAGAGUGAGAGCUGACCCUGACAAGGGAAGACAAGUUUCUCCAGCCCCUCAUUUGGCACAGGUGGAUGUAGGGAGGCCCGGGCCUUCGCCACCUCCGGGAGGUGCACCUGCACCCCAGAGAUCCCCAGUGCGGCUGGGGCUGAUGCAAGAAUCAAGGAAAGAGAGAAUGAGGAAGGAACAACAGAGACAGAGAGGCCACCGCUCACACCGCAAACUCACGGGAAGGAUUCCGCACUGCCAGUGACACCAAGCCAAGGUUCAAGAGACUUCUAGCGGCACCUCUCUUGGCGCCCUGGCUGAUACACCAGGCAAUCAACCAUGUCUCCAUUUUUGCAUUAGCCACUGAAAAUGCUCAGAACUGAUUUUGCAUCUUUCCUACGAGCCACAGGACCUUUGGCCAAGUCACUUAAACUCCAUGAGCCUAAAUCUCCGGGUGGGGUUAAUUACCACCUGUCUCUUAGGGUAGCUGUGGAAAUAAAAUGAAAGAUUAUGAUAUAAUUUAUUAAGCA